UGCUCGCUUGGUGUGGGGAGGUUCGACCCUCUCCGUGCCGGAGCUAACGCGUUAAGCGAGCCGCCUGGGGAGUACGGUCGCAAGACUAAAACUCAAAGAAAUUGACGGGGACCCGCACAAGCGGUGGAGUAUGUGGCUUAAUUCGAUGCAACGCGAAGAACCUUACCUGGGUUUGACAUGCUUGUCAUAUCCUGAUGAAAGUCGGGAGUCACUUCGGGUGGACAUGCACAGGUGCUGCAUGGCUGUCGUCAGCUCGUGUCGUGAGAUGUUCGGUUAAGUCCGGCAACGAGCGCAACCCCUGUGAACUGUUGCCAGCGAGUAAUGUCGGGGACUCUGUUCAGACUGCCGGUAUUUAAAUCGGAGGAAGGUGGGGACGACGUCAAGUCAGUAUGGCCCUUAUACCCAGGGCUGCACACGUACUACAAUGCCCAGCACAAUGAGAUCCGAUACCGCGAGGUGGAGGAAAUCCUGAAAACUGGGCUCAGUUCGGAUCGGAGGCUGCAACUCGCCUCCGUGAAGUUGGAAUCGCUAGUAAUGGCACAUCAGCUACGGUGCCGUGAAUACGUUCCCGGGUCUUGUACACACCGCCCGUCACAUCAUGGAAGCUGGUCGCGCCCGAAGUAUCUGAGCCAACCGCAAGGAGGCAGGAUCCUAAGGUGUAACCGGUAACUGGGAUGAAGUCGUAACAAGGUAGCCGUA
rnacentral:rRNA from 1 species